rnacentral:rRNA from 1 species
GGGUUGUGAGGUUAAGCGACUAAGCGUACACGGUGGAUGCCCUGGCAGUCAGAGGCGAUGAAGGACGUGCUAAUCUGCGAUAAGCGUCGGUAAGGUGAUAUGAACCGUUAUAACCGGCGAUUUCCGAAUGGGGAAACCCAGUGUGAUUCGUCACACUAUCAUUAACUGAAUCCAUAGGUUAAUGAGGCGAACCGGGGGAACUGAAACAUCUAAGUACCCCGAGGAAAAGAAAUCAACCGAGAUUCCCCCAGUAGCGGCGAGCGAACGGGGAGCAGCCCAGAGCCUGAAUCAGUGUGUGUGUUAGUGGAAGCGUCUGGAAAGGCGCGCGAUACAGGGUGACAGCCCCGUACACAAAAAUGCACAUGCUGUGAGCUCGAUGAGUAGGGCGGGACACGUGGUAUCCUGUCUGAAUAUGGGGGGACCAUCCUCCAAGGCUAAAUACUCCUGACUGACCGAUAGUGAACCAGUACCGUGAGGGAAAGGCGAAAAGAACCCCGGCGAGGGGAGUGAAAAAGAACCUGAAACCGUGUACGUACAAGCAGUGGGAGCACGCUUAGGCGUGUGACUGCGUACCUUUUGUAUAAUGGGUCAGCGACUUAUAUUCUGUAGCAAGGUUAACCGAAUAGGGGAGCCGAAGGGAAACCGAGUCUUAACUGGGCGUUAAGUUGCAGGGUAUAGACCCGAAACCCGGUGAUCUAGCCAUGGGCAGGUUGAAGGUUGGGUAACACUAACUGGAGGACCGAACCGACUAAUGUUGAAAAAUUAGCGGAUGACUUGUGGCUGGGGGUGAAAGGCCAAUCAAACCGGGAGAUAGCUGGUUCUCCCCGAAAGCUAUUUAGGUAGCGCCUCGUGAAUUCAUCUCCGGGGGUAGAGCACUGUUUCGGCAAGGGGGUCAUCCCGACUUACCAACCCGAUGCAAACUGCGAAUACCGGAGAAUGUUAUCACGGGAGACACACGGCGGGUGCUAACGUCCGUCGUGAAGAGGGAAACAACCCAGACCGCCAGCUAAGGUCCCAAAGUCAUGGUUAAGUGGGAAACGAUGUGGGAAGGCCCAGACAGCCAGGAUGUUGGCUUAGAAGCAGCCAUCAUUUAAAGAAAGCGUAAUAGCUCACUGGUCGAGUCGGCCUGCGCGGAAGAUGUAACGGGGCUAAACCAUGCACCGAAGCUGCGGCAGCGACGCUGAUGCGUUGUUGGGUAGGGGAGCGUUCUGUAAGCCUGCGAAGGUGUGCUGUGAGGCAUGCUGGAGGUAUCAGAAGUGCGAAUGCUGACAUAAGUAACGAUAAAGCGGGUGAAAAGCCCGCUCGCCGGAAGACCAAGGGUUCCUGUCCAACGUUAAUCGGGGCAGGGUGAGUCGACCCCUAAGGCGAGGCCGAAAGGCGUAGUCGAUGGGAAACAGGUUAAUAUUCCUGUACUUGGUGUUACUGCGAAGGGGGGACGGAGAAGGCUAUGUUGGCCGGGCGACGGUUGUCCCGGUUUAAGCGUGUAGGCUGGUUUUCCAGGCAAAUCCGGAAAAUCAAGGCUGAGGCGUGAUGACGAGGCACUACGGUGCUGAAGCAACAAAUGCCCUGCUUCCAGGAAAAGCCUCUAAGCAUCAGGUAACAUCAAAUCGUACCCCAAACCGACACAGGUGGUCAGGUAGAGAAUACCAAGGCGCUUGAGAGAACUCGGGUGAAGGAACUAGGCAAAAUGGUGCCGUAACUUCGGGAGAAGGCACGCUGAUAUGUAGGUGAAGUGAUUUACUCAUGGAGCUGAAAUCAGUCGAAGAUACCAGCUGGCUGCAACUGUUUAUUAAAAACACAGCACUGUGCAAACACGAAAGUGGACGUAUACGGUGUGACGCCUGCCCGGUGCCGGAAGGUUAAUUGAUGGGGUCAGCGCAAGCGAAGCUCUUGAUCGAAGCCCCGGUAAACGGCGGCCGUAACUAUAACGGUCCUAAGGUAGCGAAAUUCCUUGUCGGGUAAGUUCCGACCUGCACGAAUGGCGUAAUGAUGGCCAGGCUGUCUCCACCCGAGACUCAGUGAAAUUGAACUCGCUGUGAAGAUGCAGUGUACCCGCGGCAAGACGGAAAGACCCCGUGAACCUUUACUAUAGCUUGACACUGAACAUUGAGCCUUGAUGUGUAGGAUAGGUGGGAGGCUUUGAAGUGUGGACGCCAGUCUGCAUGGAGCCGACCUUGAAAUACCACCCUUUAAUGUUUGAUGUUCUAACGUGGACCCGUAAUCCGGGUUGCGGACAGUGUCUGGUGGGUAGUUUGACUGGGGCGGUCUCCUCCUAAAGAGUAACGGAGGAGCACGAAGGUUGGCUAAUCCUGGUCGGACAUCAGGAGGUUAGUGCAAUGGCAUAAGCCAGCUUGACUGCGAGCGUGACGGCGCGAGCAGGUGCGAAAGCAGGUCAUAGUGAUCCGGUGGUUCUGAAUGGAAGGGCCAUCGCUCAACGGAUAAAAGGUACUCCGGGGAUAACAGGCUGAUACCGCCCAAGAGUUCAUAUCGACGGCGGUGUUUGGCACCUCGAUGUCGGCUCAUCACAUCCUGGGGCUGAAGUAGGUCCCAAGGGUAUGGCUGUUCGCCAUUUAAAGUGGUACGCGAGCUGGGUUUAGAACGUCGUGAGACAGUUCGGUCCCUAUCUGCCGUGGGCGCUGGAGAACUGAGGGGGGCUGCUCCUAGUACGAGAGGACCGGAGUGGACGCAUCACUGGUGUUCGGGUUGUCAUGCCAAUGGCACUGCCCGGUAGCUAAAUGCGGAAGAGAUAAGUGCUGAAAGCAUCUAAGCACGAAACUUGCCCCGAGAUGAGUUCUCCCUGACCCUUUAAGGGUCCUGAAGGAACGUUGAAGACGACGACGUUGAUAGGCCGGGUGUGUAAGCGCAGCGAUGCGUUGAGCUAACCGGUACUAAUGAACCGUGAGGCUUAACCUUACAACGCCGAAGGUGUUU